GUCUAAUGCGCGCGCGGAGGAGGAGCGCGGGCGGAGCCUGACCCAGCGCCGAGGGACAUCGGCACUGGAUUCAGGUAAGUCACUGAAGGGGUUUUAACCCCUUCAGCAACAUGGGAUGGGGGGUUGGAGGGAGAGGGGCACUGCAAGAUAUGUUUUCCUGGCACUGGAGAGUCCCUUUAAGGCAGAGGCAGGGCACAAAUUGCAAAUGAGUUAAAGAAAUAGAAUCAUUGUUUCUUUUUUUCUUGCUUUCUCUACAUUGACUGUGAGGCGCAGUGUAAAGGACCAAGCGUU